UGCGUGCACGCAAGGUGAAGCGUGAUGGUUUCCUGUGCUGCAUACCGUGAAUGGGGAAGUCGUUGUGCAUGCUAAAAAAGUAUAUUGCUCCGCCGAUUGCCUUGCAAGUGGUAGUCGGUGGGCGAUGCCAGUGCUCCUCGAUGUCCUCACUCAGCCGAGACUCUUUGCGAUCACGGUAGUGGCGGGCAUUCGGGUUCUCACUCAUCUCUCGGAUGCGGAACGCUUUAAUGGUGCGUGGUCCAACGACCUCUAUGUGCCCAAUCGAUGCUGCACCCCGAUCGAAUGACGGUCAUGCCCCGUCACGACUGACCCCUAGCCCCGCGCUGGGGCAGCCAAGCGGCGGCAUUGACGUCAUC
rnacentral:misc_RNA from 1 species